rnacentral:rRNA from 1 species
AUUGAACGCUGGCGGUAUGCUUAACACAUGCAAGUCGAACGGUAGCAGGCCUUCGGGCGCUGACGAGUGGCGGACGGGUGAGUAACGCGUAGGAAUCUGCCUCAUAGUGGGGGACAACGUGGGGAAACUCACGCUAAUACCGCAUACGCCCUACGGGGGAAAGCGGGGGAUCUUCGGACCUCGCGCUAUGAGAUGAGCCUGCGUUAGAUUAGCUAGUUGGUAGGGUAAAGGCCUACCAAGGCGACGAUCUAUAGCUGGUCUGAGAGGACGAUCAGCCACACUGGGACUGAGACACGGCCCAGACUCCUACGGGAGGCAGCAGUGGGGAAUAUUGGACAAUGGGCGCAAGCCUGAUCCAGCAAUACCGCGUGUGUGAAGAAGGCCUUAGGGUUGUAAAGCACUUUCAAUUGGGAGGAAAACCUGUCGGUCAAUACCGGCAGCUUGACAUUACCUUUAGAGAAGCACCGGCUAAACUCCGUGCCAGCAGCC